UAUCUUGUAAGACGGGAAGUAAUCGAUGGUUGCUUGCCACCAUCAUUGUUGCUAGUUAGCAGCAAACAUUAAAACCACCAGCGGUACUAAUGAAUCUAACCAAUCAACCAACCAUGCUUCUAAAGUAAUCCCGCAUCUUCGCCCGAAAGGUGGAAUCGAACCACUCUGCCGCUAGGCAGCUACAGGUUUGAAGCCUGCACCCCGGACCACCGAGGGUCAUCCGGGCGAAAGACCGAGUCGCCAGCCACUAUCAUAUAGCACAAAUAUGUACUACUCUUUCUUAGUGACGGUUUCGUGGUAUUGUCAUCGGGUAUUGUCACCCAGUGUCAUAUUUUAGUUUAUGAAUAGUAAUAAUUACGAAAUAUUGGUCUAUAUGGACUGAUUGUAACUAGCGCAGCACGAUGCUUUCAAAACCAUGCUAAAAGGAACAACAUCAGGUAUGCCAAGUUUAUGCAAAAUAGCUACGUAUUGAUUGGCUGUGCCGGAGCGAAAAGGCGCAGAGAGAUGCCGUCAUAACAGGCUAAGGUGGGAGAGGGCAGCACAUGUGGGCGUCGCAGAUCUUAUCACAAGCCAAUCUGCAUGCUGGCCCCGGACCUGGGCACGUUGGAUCCUUGGGUAGGGCAGAAGAGGGAGCAAACUCUGGUUGCACUGUGCAGCAGCUCACCCCGACACUCUGCAGGACCUUGGUGACCCCUGACAUGAGAUCAGCACACCUGAAUAUGUCAGUGAAAAAGCGGGGGUACCUGUGUACAGGAAAGUCAGCGUGACAGAGCACGUGGACUGAGGCCACCAAACACGAAUCGGAUAACUCCCAGAUGUGAAGCUCAUGCAACUCCUCCACUCCCGGCACGAUCCCGAUCCGCUUCCUCACGUCCGAUAGACUCAGGAUGAUGGCAGCCAAAACGGCCAGGCCGGGAUCCAGGUACACCAAGAGGCCGCAGCCCCCCGGAGAAUGCCGGAAGUCAGGGCCUACCAGCAGCAUCGCUAAACUAUUAACCAGGACUAGCACUGACGUGGACAGACCCUGCACUACCAUCACCACAGAAGCAGGACACAGAGUCAGCCGCUGCCUCACGUCCCGAGUGACUUCUUCUCCCAACUUUGGCUCCCCUGUCGUCUUCUCAGCAGCCACGCCUCCUCCCGCCGAGGUCACCGGGUUGCACGGGACAAGACCCCGGUUGUGAAGCGAGCGUGCAGUGGUCCCGCUCUGAUCUCCACUGGCUUCACACGGGCCUCGCUCGGCCUCGUCUGCGCCUUCGGAGCCCUCCUGAGACAUGGCUCCUGGGCCCCGGCCCCCCGCCGCCUCCAGGUCGUCACGAGCACCACAACGUUGUGCAGCAAACCGAGCACGCCGGCCGCCGCCAGCAGCCAGGGCUGCUCCACAGGGUGCAUCCCCACAGAUUGGUGGCUGACAAUUUCCAACAAGCAGGACACGCACAAGGAGACAAGGAGCAGGGCGGAGACGAAGACCCCCACCGGCCGCCUCCUGCCGUCAGGGUAGGACGCGGCGUACGGCGGAACCCCGGCGAGGUCGGUCGUCUCUGAGGACAGCCUUGAAGGAGAAGGACUCGCUGCGUUUUGAGGCUGAGGAAGAGCCAUGUGACCGAGGACAAAGAGCGUGUGGAAGCCAUCCACCAGCAAGAUGAAGGACCUGCACAGCUGACCGCUGAUCAGUUUCAGAACCAGCACCAGGAUGGUGAUGACCAGCAGGCAGUAUUGUGACAGCUUCUUCAUGUCUGCACUCAAAGGCGUCGUCAAUAAAAUGAAAUAAAUACAAUCAGAA